rnacentral:sRNA from 1 species
UCUGUGUAUGUCUGUGUUUUAGUUGUUCAGUGUGUAUACCUUUCUAUGUUUAUGUCUGCAUAUUUGUUUGUGUGUGUAACUGUAUCAUUGUAGUUAAGAAGAGGGUGUUAUACGCCCUGAAUCUAGAGUUACAAUUGGUCCUGAGCUGUCCCACUUAGGUGUUAGGAAUCAAUCUCAGAUUCUUUUCAAGAGCAGUGUGCAUUCUCCACUGAAGAGCCAUCUCUCUAUUGGUGUGUUUAAAUAUCAUAUUACCCACCACAUAUUUAACAGUUUGUAAAAGUCUGUUGGAAGCCAUAUAAGAGAAUUUUAUUUUUCUUUAUCCAUGUCUUGGCAUUUCAUUCUCCUGAAUAUUCCAUGGUAAUAGUUUAAGUGGGAAAUGAGACUGACUCAGUAGUCUUUCAGAAUGACACCUCAGCAUGUCUUGGUGCUGCACCAGAUCCAUCAUGCUGGAUUUUACUGCUUUAGAUGUUUAAAGUGUACCCACAUAAGCACAGCUGUGAAAGUAUAUGGAUGGAAGCAGGCAGGCAAAGAUUGUCAACUAUUUUUAGCUUAGCAUGCUAUACCAGUUGCACACAUCACAAUAAGAACCAGCAGAAAAGUAGGAUGAUGAAGAAAUGAGUGGUGCCUAAUGCAGACACCCUGUAGGAAUGCCAGGUUUAAGGAUCUAUCAGUUCACUUCCUCAUCUCAUGCCUAAGUCAUGCUCUAAGAUAGAUGCAGCUUGCCUUGCCUGCAAAGAGGAAGGUUGAUGAGCAGUAUCUUAUCAUGAUCUGUCACAAAACCAUGUGGGCGUCAGGAGGCAGGGCAUCCCAUCCCUAGCCACUGUCUCACAGGCUGGGACACAGCCCAGGUUUAGAAUAAAAGGACUGAUGGAGAGGGCCCUUCCAUCCACUUAUUGGCUGAGAUACUCACAGAUCCUGUUCUACCCCUCAUCUUGCUCCUGAACACACAUACCUGAGAUGUCCUGCCAGCAGAGCCAGCAGCAGUGCCAGGCCCCUGUCAAGUGCCCUCCCAAGUGCCAAACCCCAAAGUGCCCUCCAAAAUGCCCCCCAAAAUGUCCUCCCAAGUGCCCCCCUGUGUCUUCCUGCUGUAGCCUGGGUUCUGGGGGCUGCUGCAGCUCUGGGGGCUGCUGUGGCUCCAGCUCUGGUGGAUGCUGCAGCUCUGGGGGUGGAGGCUGCUGCCUGAGCCACCACAGACCCCGCAGAUCUCUCCGUCGCCAUCGUCACAGCUCUGGAUGCUGUAGCAGUGGUGGUAGCAGUGGCUGCUGUGGUAGCAGUGGUGGCAGCAGUGGCUGUUGUGGUAGCAGUGGUGGCAGCAGUGGCUGCUGUGGCAGUAGCCAGCAGUCUGGAGAUUGCUGCUGACCUGGGUGAGGAAGACUUCAGUCAAGUGGUGCAGGAGGAGCAGAGUCUCAGAAGACUCCCCAGUGCUUGAUGAUCUCUAUUUUCCUGCUUCCCUCCUUCCAUGUCCUCUGGUGUGCUCAAACGUCCUGGCAAAUGAUUUUCAGUCUCCUCGGGAAAUGACAAUUUCCCUUUCCCCUUUGUUGCAAAUUAAAAAUGUCUUGACAACAAUUCUUGACAAGAAGGUCACUUUUUUUCUCUCUCAGAAUCAUCCUGAUUAACAUCCCUUCAUCAUCUUCUCCUUCAAGCAGAGCAUGACACCUAGAGCUAUUGUCCUCUUUUACAUAUGUAUGUGCUUCCUAUGACUUUAUACUGUGUAUUUUAUCUGUUAGAAAAAAUUCUUAGUCUUUUUAAUAGUAAUGUCUGUGUGAACAAUUAGAAAUGGCAAUCACUUCUCACAAUUAUAAAAUAGGGAAACAAACCCUAUGUCAAGGGAGUUGAAGGUGUAUGUCCACUCUUAGACACUUAUUAGAAGAAUGAUUAUUUCACACUCAGAUUAAAUGAGGACAAUUAGGACAUUAGUCAGUCAUUUCCUUCUUCACUUUUUUUAGUUGUUCUCUUCUAAACAAAUUUGUGAACUAGAAAUGCAUAAAUGUACAUUUUUUCCAUCAUGUAACUUUUCUCUUAUAACUGAUGUGAUAUAAUGUGAAUUUCCUAUUGGCUGAUCUUUGGCAAUGCUCUCAUUCUUUCCCCUGUCUUAGUACCUGCUGUAUUUAUUCUUGACAAAUAAAUGCUGAGUUCAUCAGUGGA